GAUGAACGCUGGCGGCGUGCCUAAUACAUGCAAGUCGAGCGAACAGACGAGGAGCUUGCUCCUCUGACGUUAGCGGCGGACGGGUGAGUAACACGUGGAUAACCUACCUAUAAGACUGGGAUAACUUCGGGAAACCGGAGCUAAUACCGGAUAAUAUAUUGAACCGCAUGGUUCAAUAGUGAAAGACGGUUUUGCUGUCACUUAUAGAUGGAUCCGCGCCGCAUUAGCUAGUUGGUAAGGUAACGGCUUACCAAGGCGACGAUGCGUAGCCGACCUGAGAGGGGGAUCAGCCACACUGGAACUGAGACACGGUCCAGACUCCUACGGGAGGCAGCAGUAGGGAAUCUUCCGCAAUGGGCGAAAGCCUGACGGAGCAACGCCGCGUGAGUGAUGAAGGUCUUCGGAUCGUAAAACUCUGUUAUUAGGGAAGAACAAAUGUGUAAGUAACUAUGCACGUCUUGACGGUACCUAAUCAGAAAGCCACGGCUAACUACGUG
rnacentral:rRNA from 1 species